AGGCGAUACAGCACUGCAACUGCCUCUGCAAUACAAUGCUGCAAGGCAAACGCAGCGUGUCAUUGGAAAUUAAUGUAAUUCUGGUGUCCCAAAAUGCAAUGAUGCUGUCCUGUUCCUUACACUUCGAACACACCCACUGCGUCAUUGCAUCACUGCUGCAUAACAUUUUGUGCAGCUAUGCAACUAUACUGAUGCAGGUAUCUUUUGCAGAUGGUCGCAUGCGGUUGGACACAUGGAGGAGAGAAUCAUGUUCGCAGUAUCCUCAAAACCAUGUCUUUUUGACACAACUGCUGACAGCUACAGGGACAUAAACACAAAAAAUGCUGCUUGGAUACAAGUGUCUACGAUAGUAGGAUUACCAGGUCAGUUUAGUAGUGAGCUUGUGCUAACCUAGCCAAUGAGGUGUGUGUGAAAGAAAUAGUAAUAUAAAUUAUGCUAGUUACUACCCCUGAUAACUUGCCCAAAUAAUUAUGUUUGAAAGAGUGUGAAUGUCAGAUAAAUAGUAAUAGAAAUGGUACUCUACCCCUGAUAAUUUGGUCAGAUAACCGCUUGUGUGUGUGUGUGUACAGUUGGUGACAUGUCCAUGAUAGCCAUCUAAUAACUAUAGUUAUGCUAGGUAAUGGUUUGGCUUAUCAUGUGCAUGUCUAUGUAGAAGAAGACUAGGAGGAAGUGGAGAGGACUCAGGGACAGGUAUCAGAGAGAGAGAAGGGCAGAGAAAGAGAAGAAGAGGUCUGGGUCAGCAGCUUCAGGCCAGCAGCCUUGGCGCUUCUGCCACAUUCUUUCUUUUCUGGAUCCAUUUAUUGUGCCUAGGGCAACGAGUGGCAAUUUUACAGCCAGACCCUUUACGUCAUCCACAAGUGUGGGCGCCAUCGGUGCAUCAAGACCCUCUACGUCAUUUACAAGUGAGACCCACGCCUCUACGGGUGCAGCGAGACCCUCUACAACGUCUACAUCAUCCACAAGUAUGACCACCACCGGUGCAGCGAGACCCUCUACAACGUCUACACCAUCCACAAGUAUGACCACCACCGGUGCAGCGAGACCCUCUACAAGGUCUACAUCAUCCACAAGUAUGACCACCACCAGUGCAGCGAGACCCUCUACAUCAUCCACAAGUAUGACCACCACCGGUGCAGCUGUAACGGAUGUGAAAUGGCUAGCUAGUUAGCGGGUACGCGCUAGCAGCGUUUCAAUCAGUUACGUCACUUGCUCUGAAACCUAGAAGUAGUGUUGCACCUUGCUCUGCAAGGGCCGCGGCUUUUGUGGAGCGAUGGGUAACGACGCUUCGUGGGUGUCAGUUGUUGAUGUGUGCAGAGGGUCCCUGGUUCACGCCCGUGUCGGUGCGAGGGGACGGUUUAAAGUUAUACUGUUACAUUGAUGCUGUUGACCCGGAUCACUGGUUGCUGCGGAAAAGGAGGAGGUUGAAAGGGGGGUGAGUGUAACGGAUGUGAAAUGGCUAGCUAGUUAGCGGGUACGCGCUAGUAGCGUUCCAAUCAGUUACGUCACUUGCUCUGAAACCUAGAAGUAGUGUUGCACCUUGCUCUGCAAGGGCCGCGGCUUUUGUGGAGCGAUGGGUAACGACGCUUCGUGGGUGACUGUUGUUGAUGUGUGCAGAGGGUCCCUGGUUCGCGCCCGUGUCGGGGCGAGGGGACGGUUUAAAGUUAUACUGUUACACAGCCAGACCCUCUACAUCAUCCACAAGUAUGACCACCACCGGUGCAGCCAGACCCUCUACAUCAUUCACAAGUCUGACCACCACCGGUACAGCCAUGGAAGAUGAUGAAAUGGAGGAAGCACCUCUGGAUCUAGGACCACCUGAGAUUAUUAUGACCCUCACGGAAGUCACUGAGGACCUUGUUGAAUAGGAUGUGGCCGAGGAGAGAAACGAGGCCGUCGAGGGGGAUGCAGCCCAACCUGAUACUCAUAGGAAGGAGGACGAAGAUACCCUCUUUGCCAUGAGUCUGGUGCCAACCCUGAGGAGGCUGCCUCAGCAAAGAACAGGUUAAAAUUCAUCAGCUGCUUUUCGAUGACGAGUUCAAUGAGAUGGAGUCAAUUUAGCCGACCAGCUCAAAGGAAGGACAGGAAGAGGAGUUGUCUGGUUGUCCUCCAAUGAGUUUUGAGCGGGAGGUGAGGAGAGAGGACGCGAGGAAUCAAGGAAAUGCAACUGAGAUUUUCCAACUGACCUUAUUCUGCUCACUAUGUCCUUGUUAGUAGUUUCUCAAUACUUAGGAUAGCAUUCAUUAUUAGUUGAACAAAGAUUGCAUGAAAAUUGACUGAAUUGAAACUGACACACUGGAGAAUUCAGAUGCUCUUGUUGUUAUUUUACAAAACUAAAGGUGAAAUGUGUUUACUUGUAUUGUGGCUACACAUCCACUCUCCUCCACUCCUCUCUGUCCCUCAGAUCUCUUGAGCCCUGCCCUCUUUCUAUUUAUGGCCAUGUCUGAAGUUCCCCUACUACGUCUAGGCUUUAUGAGUAGUGCCUGUAUCUGUCUGCAGUUGGGCCAAAAAUACAUGCUCUUGCUGUUCUCUUACAGAUUACAGGCUGCACAUUAUUUUUUGUAUUUUUACACGCACAUACACAACUCUUUCAAUAGUUUUAUCUACAUUUUCACAACACACAUACCUGUCAUGUUCUUUCCUGUACUUGAAUAGUUAUAUUAUAAUGCUUUUAUAGUCAGUUGUUUCAUUUGUUUAUUAAUAUCUCAUUUAGACUUAAUCUGUUUAUUUCUUCCCUACACCUUUGCAGAUCUAAGACUAGAUGAAAGUAAAAACACAUUCUCUUCCUAAUUGUUUUUUAUUUCCACCUGCAUUUUGUCAGAGCAGUGAAGAUGGUGGUAAACUGUACUAUUUGUAUGGAUCCUAGGUUACCUUUUCCCAUUAUCAUACUAACUGUAUGUCAUAUAACCUGAGAGGUCCUGCUCACCUGAUGUACCAUGCCAGGUGUGUAUAAUAAUGAUGUUAAUGGGAGAGGGAAGGAGUUAAGUUGUGGUCUUUACUCCCAAAUUUCACUUAAAUAUAACUUCCAAAUGAAGAGAGACAAGGAGACAUAAAAUAAUCUGGGGGAAAAUGCUAUUUUAUGGACAACGAUGGAUGGUUUGGUGUUAAGGGGCUCUUAAAAGAGCUGUUUCACUCCACGGCAUACUGUCACCUGCUGGCGAUGAGAAGUAGGUGGUCAGCUUCUCCCUCACCUGGAGUGCCUGUCUGGGGGCGUUGUUGGCACCUGCCCCGGUGACAUCAGGUAGGUGACCAUUUGGCGUGCCCGUCUUCAUCUGGAGCACCUCCUGGAAUGACCUCCGCAGGUAGUUGUGGAGAACACAUGUGGCCUUCACGCAGGCAUCGACAUUUGAGGGGCUGAGACCAAGCACUCUCCGAUACAUACUCCACCGCUCUGCCAGAAUCCCAAAGGUGCAUUCAACAACUAACCUUGCCCUGGAUAGUCGUUUGUUAAAUAUCCUUACAGGCUUUGGCAAUGGCAGCUGGCGUCCAGCGUAGGGCCUCAUGAGAUUGCGUCUCAAAAGGAAGGCCUCGUCAUCGACGAAGACGUGGGGAACAGGUCCCAGGUCUUCAGCCCCAGGGAGUGAUGCAGGUGGUAGAAUCUCCAGGGUGCCAUCCUGAAGUGCCUGGCCGAAGGCAGAGUCCCGGAGGGUCCCGCCAUCACUUCCCGAGCCGUAAGCACCAACAUCGACGACACGGAAACAGUAGAAGGCAUCUAUGCAAUGGAGCCAAGACAGUUGGGGAAAUUCCACCUCUCCAGGAACUCGGCAGCGAUGGCCCUCCAGUCUUCCUCUUGGGGACAGGCAUGUAUUCACCAACCAGACAGUCCCAAAUGGCUUGUGCCACAGAGGGGACAAUGCCUGCCACCGUGGACCGUCCAACUCCGAAGCUGAAUCCAAUGGUCCUGUAGGAGUCCCCUGACUCCAAGAAUCUGAAAUAUAAUUCAAAAUAGUUAUCAAUAUUGUGUGUAACUUGAAAUUGCGCCCACAUAUUCUACUACAUUACAGUUUAUUAUGCUCUACUAAUUAUAUUGUAAUACUCAACCAUCAUUAACAAUGCCUUGAAACAGUACAAUUCAAUCUAUGACUAUCAAUAAACUGUAGCCCAGCCUAA